rnacentral:tRNA from 1 species
GGGCCUGUAGCUCAAUUGGUUAGAGCCGGCCGCUCAUAACGGUCUGGUUGCAGGUUCGAGCCCUGCCAGGCCCACCA